GUCCGGUGGCUCAGUUAGUAGAGCGUUGCGCUAACAAAGUUAAGGUUAUGGGUUCAAACCCCAGGAGAAGCA